rnacentral:rRNA from 1 species
GACGAACGCUGGCGGCGUGCCUAAUACAUGCAAGUCGAGCGGACAGACCGGAAGCUUGCUCCUGAUUCGUUAGCGGCGGACGGGUGAGUAACACGUGGGCAACCUGCCUAGUAGACGGGGAUAACACCGAGAAAUCGGUGCUAAUACCGGAUAACACGUUAUGUCGCAUGAUGCUUUGUUGAAAGACGGUUCUAGCUGUACCUAUAGAAUGAGCCCGCGGCGCAUUAGCUAGUUGGUAAGGUAACGGCUAACCAAGGCAACGAUGCGUAGCCGACCUGAGAGGGUGAUCGGCCACACUGGAACUGAGACACGGCCCAGACUCCUACGGGAGGCAGCAGUAGGGAAUCUUCCGCAAUGGGCGAAAGUCUGACGGAGCAACGCCGCGUGAGUGAUGAAGGCCUUCGGAUCGUAAAACUCUGUUAUUAGGGAAGAACAAAUGUCUCAGUAACUAUGGUUACCUUGACGGUACCUAACGAGAAAGCCACGGCUAACUACGUG